AUGGCACACAUUGUGGAAAAAUUAUGCUCUGGUAUCCCUAGUUUGUGUUGCACCCAUUUUGAGAACAUAAAAAUUAUUUCACAUCUGUGUUUCCUUGUCAUUAUGGCAUUCUACAAAAAAUGGUUCAAACCUAAUGUAUAUUCUCAUCAAAAGCUCCAACGGGUACAACAUGUAAUAUGCGUUAUGAGGAACUUUUAA